UACGGGGGGGGGCAAGCGUUGUUCGGAAUUACUGGGCGUAAAGCGCGCGUAGGCGGUUUUGCAAGCCAGAGGUGAAAUGCCUGAGCUCAACUUAGGAAUUGCCUUUGGGACUGCGAGGCUUUGAGGACUGGAGAGGUGAGUGGAAUUCCCAGUGUAGAGGUGAAAUUCGUAGAUAUUGGGAAGAACACCGGCGGCGAAGGCGGCUCACUGGCCAGUUUCUGACGCUGCAGCGCGAAAGCGUGGGGAUCAAACAGGGAUUAAGAA
rnacentral:rRNA from 1 species